rnacentral:lncRNA from 1 species
CACUUGCCGGUGAUGGUGAUGGUUAGGGAGAUGGAUGGUGAUACUUUUCGGCUAUGUGCAUGAUGUGGUAGGAUGCACAUGAGCUGGGUGAGAUGGGAUGUUCGGUUAUGUGCACGAUGUGGUGGGAUGCCAUGAGUUGGGUGAGAUGGGAUGUCUGGCUAUGUGCACGAUGUGGUGGGAUGCACAUGAUUUGGGUGAGAUGGAAUGAUUGCUGGAAAUUUCCUCUCUUUCAAAUUUCAUGCUAAACACGAUUCCUUCAUCAUUAAAUGAUUUAAUAACCAAGGGUUUAAUGGAGGGAUUUUAAUAAGAACUUGAACUAAGUUGUAUUGUUUUCAAAUAAGUG